CGGACGGGUGAGUAACGCGUGGGCAACCUACCCCACACAGGGGGACAACAGUUGGAAAUGACUGCUAAUACCGCAUAGGCGCACAGCUUCGCAUGAAGCAGUGUGGAAAACCGAGGUGGUGUGGGAUGGGCCCGCGUCUGAUUAGCUGGUUGGCGGGGUAACGGCCCACCAAGGCGACGAUCAGUAGCCGGCCUGAGAGGGUGGACGGCCACAUUGGGACUGAGACACGGCCCAAACUCCUACGGGAGGCAGCAG
rnacentral:rRNA from 1 species